rnacentral:lncRNA from 1 species
AGAAUUUCCUGUUAAUGCAAAAAUUGUUGAAAAUUGAAGGGUUGGGAAAUGGAUUCCCACCUUAAUUAAUAAAUUAUUAUAAUGAUUAAUUAAAAGUUCCACAAAAAAAUAAUAAUGAAAAUGGUAAGAACCCUCGUGUAGUGCACUUCUCGAUUCUUUCACAGAGCUCCAUUGUUGAAACCAACCAAAAACCUUUCCUUUUUCAGUUUUAUAAAGUCCUUCUCCUUUCUUCCCAAAAGUCCAAGCUUUUUCCUUCUCGUCUUCGUCAAUAAUUAAGGGCCAUUUUCUUCCUCGUUCUCUCAAAUAAUUUUUCUUUACAUUUUCCCUUUGAUUUUUCUUGUUUAACUAAUUUAUCUCUUGAAUUUUUCAUAUAGCUUCAAUCUAACAUAGUUGGUUGCUUGUUUUCCGAGAUUCAACCAUGUCUCAUAUCCUUUUUUUUUCUUUCUAAUUUGUUUGAUUAAUACAUAAUUUAUAGCUCUUAAGCUUUGGUAUUUCCUGGUUUCUGUUUUCUUUUUUGUGUUAAUUCCUCAACUCAAGCUAACGGGGUAACCAGAGAGAACGAGAUCGAGAAAGGGCACAAGCCAGAGCAGCCCACAAAGCCAAAGGUUCCAAAGACGAUGGGUUAACCCCUGAGCAACGGCGUGAAAGGUUCCCUCUUUCAUUUUUACCUUUUCUUGAAUAUCUUUAAUUGUGUGCAUUUUGCGUCUUCGUUUUUUUACUUGUGGCUUUGAGUCGAUGGACAGAGAUGCAAAGGCAUUGCAAGAGAAGUUGGCGAAGAAAGCGGCUCAAGCGACGGUUGGAUCCGAGCGGCAAAGUGGGAUUAAAAACAAGAAAUAGAAGUGGGACGUGAUUAUAGAUUGCAGGAUAAAAGAGAGAGUGUGAUUAUAUUAAUUGGAUUGGGAAAAUCGUGUCUUUUGUUUUUUAUUUUAACAAACACUUGGUGUGCAUUUGUUUUAAAGUGGUUUGCAAAUGGAAUUUGAUUUCCUAUUUGAACAUCAUUAUCUAAUUGAUUGUCUUUCCAAUUCUAAACUUCAGAAAUUCCAGCUGAUCAUUCAACUAAAAAAUUAGCCUUUGAAUAAGUUUGAUUCAAAAUAAUAUUAUGAAUCUA